CACCGCGACGCCCCGCUUCGUGACUUUGGCUCUCUUGCUGGGCGCCACCGCCAGCCUGGGUGCGCCCACUUGAAAAAUUCAGAUUCAGCUGUCUUUUACGUGGCUCCUAGAAGAUUCACCCCCUGUGGGAGCACAGCAGUUGUGGAGGUGGAGACAAGACUGGCACCAGAAUCAGAGUUAAAAUAUAUCAGAAAAUCUGAGCUCCAAAUUCUUGUAAGUCAGCGAGUGACUGACCAACAACUGUGAGACACUGAGGACUUUGACGUUUGCUGUAAACUUUGGCACAGAUCACUUCUCUGAAGGCUGAAUCCAAAAAGCACAAUGAGUAAAAAAUAUCCUGUGGUAGCACAGUGAAUUCCAGACAAACCUGAGAAUUUCCUACAGCUGGGGAAGGAGGCCCAACUCCUGAGAUGGCCUUGGAUGCAGAACUGAUAGAACUUGGGGAAAGUGAUGAAGUAGUUGACCUCACCCGUGAAUCUCUAGAACCUGUAGUGAUUGACCUAACUCAACAUGACUCUGUUGUGGUUAUUGAACAAUGGAGGAGGCCAAGGGGAAACACAAGGUCAUUCCAAGGCCAAACUGGCAGCUGUGUAGUACGCAGUGAUAGAGAUGGGUUGAUGAGAAACAGAGAUGUACAUGUGACAAACAGUGCCCACCAUAAUUCCCCGGAAGAAGAAAUUUUAAGUCACAGACUACCUGGUUAUAUCCAGUGUCAACUUUGCAUGGAUGGAUACUCAGAGAUUGAACUCAGUAGACGACACAUUUAUUCCACAGAAUGUGGCCAUAUCUUCUGUAGUCAGUGCCUAUGCACUUCUCUUAAAUAUACUAAAACUUGCCCAGUUUGUUUGAAAAAAAUCAGCUGCCAUCAGUACCACCGCAUUUAUAUAUGAUGUGUGCCUUGUUGCUCAGGACAGACAGACCCUCUGGCUGGAUUUUUCCAUGUCCUUGUACAGCAACUAUGGGUUGCUGGCAGUCAAUUCUCUGAGCUUAAAAAGCCUGAUUUUAAAAAUUUCUAUCUCGAGUAUAUAAAAACUCUUGUUUCUCAAAUGC